CAGAACCUGGGGGUUGAGACCAGCGACAGUGAGCAACCGUACCCUGGCCUCCGCCAAUCCCGCGAUGCCGGAAUGAGGGAGACCCUGAGAGUCUCGUGUGUGUCUGAUAACGGGUGCCCCCAUGAUGGGUCCAGCAAGACGCACCUGUCUGAUGGUCUCCUGAUUCUGCAACUUGCUGUGAUCGUUCAGCGCGAUCCGGAGUAGUUCUGAGAACACGAAGAUACAGUGUCAGUGUCCUGCCGUCUAACUCUCCUUCCAUGACAUCACUAUGGAAAUGGAGACUCAUCUGCUUCAGCAAGAUGACUGUGAAGUAAGAUUUCCAUGAGCCAUCCUGCAUGGAGCAUCUCUACGCUGGAGAUCCCACCCAACAUCUCUUUAUACAUGUCAGUACACUUGGUGGCCCCAGGAUUCUCCUCUGUCCAUGAAAGCAUGGUGGAUUCCCACUGAGCUGCCCCAGCUAUAAACCUGCACAGACUCAAUUUCACUCCACAGCUGAUGAACAUAACCACCGAAAGCAGUGUGAAAACCAUCCAGCCAUGACGUGUCACAGAAGGCUGCAUGUCAGGAUGCACCUGCACGUACUGCCUUUCUGGAUUAUGCUGGCAGACCAACUGCGAGGUCACGCUGUCCUCAGAGCUGACACAUGCGUCGUGCCUGUCCAAGCCCCCUACACAGGGUCUGGAGACAGGAGGGAGACCCUUCCAUUUCGCUUUGGAGACUGAGCACUAUGAAGCGACGCAAGCCACAGCUCACCUAUGGG